rnacentral:antisense_RNA from 1 species
AGCACCGUGGCUUAGUCUUUUUUUUCAAUCACUUUGACGAAACUAAGACAGAAAACAAAAAAGUCGAGAAUCAUGUUUAAACUUACUCAAAAGGCAAGAUUUUUUACGUGUCUAAAAUAGAGCAUUUUAAAACUAAAAAUGAUAAAAAUAACCGUUACAUCCUCAAAACGAUUGUCUAACUUGGCAUCCAAAUUCAUCUCAGUGAGGGUGUUUUUUAUGGUUUUUUCUUGACCUUUUAUAUCACAUGUCAUUGUAUUAAUUCUCAAUAAAAGAAGCUGAAGGAAAAUCUUCUUUUUUAAUAGCAAUACCUAAUUCUGCUGCUACAUUCUUAUUAAUUAGCGGUUGACCAAUAUCCACAACUUUGACAGGAACAUCUACAACACGCUUUCCUUUGAUUAAUUUUAACACCUGAUUAGCUGUUUGAACUCCCAAAUCGUACUGAUUUUGAGAAAUAGCUGCCAAACCACCUUUUUCAACCAUUCGAUCAACGCUAGUGUAGACAGGAAUCUUUGCAGCCUUGCUGGUUGUCAUGACUGAUGAAAAUGCACUUGCUAUAGUAUUGUCUUGGGGGAUAAAUACCGCGUCUACUUUACCUAACAUAACUGACAUCGUGGCAGGAACUUCAUUAGUAGAAGGAACCGCGUAUGAAAUAACUUGGUAGCCCUUUUUGCGAGCUAACCGCCUAAACUCUUUAACUUGAGAUAAGGAAUUAUCCUCAUUACUUGCAUAUAAAAUUCCAACUGUUUUGACAUGUGGUGUCAGCUUUUUCAUUAAAUCAAUUGUCUGUUUAACAGGCACUUUAUUAGAUAGACCAGUUACAUUAGCUUCAGGUUGAUCCAAUUGCAUCACUAAUCUAGAUCCUACUGGAUCAGAUACUGCUGACAUGACAACUGGGAUAUCC